UUGACCUCGGAUCAGGUAGGAAUACCCGCUGAACUUAAGCAUAUCAAUAAAGCG
rnacentral:rRNA from 1 species